rnacentral:lncRNA from 1 species
AAAUCUAACCCACCGAAGAGGUGUUUUUUUGGGUUAGAGUUAGGUGGGGCCAGAAAAAGUUACUUUUCUGUCUCCCUCCAUCACACAAAAUUCUAAUAAAGGAGCCAAAUGAUUAAACAAUGCAUUUAUUGACAAUCUAACCCUUCCAUCUAAACACCUUUUGGUUAGAGUUAGUUAAGGGUUAGUCUAGAGUUAGAAUCUAACUCUAACCUCUAACCGAGUUGGAGUAUUCAAACAGGGCCAAAGUGGCAUCCAUGCGAUAGAACAUGUGUUGCCCCUCUCCAUGUGAUAUGUCGGCCGUCAUCCACACCGUCAGCGCACAUGAUCAUGAAAUGGACGGCAACACGUCACGCAAGCACGCGGGAUCGCGAACGUUUGGUCAAUAUAAUCACCGGUUUAUCUUUUUACUUUUUUAGCAGAGUACAAUCCAAAUCGCUCACACACACGAGCAUACACUCAUCUCUAUGAACGCACACACGCACAUCCUAGCAUCUUUGAGAGACAGAGCUGACACAUCAUUUUAAUAUUGACAAAGUCGUCAUAGAUGACUUCGUAGUCGACGGGGACGUUUCCUUUCACUGAACGCACAUCGUCGGAAGGUCUAGAAUAAAUUCAAAGAAAUCAAGCACCGAUAUCAAAUCUAGCAUUUGAACUCUAGUUGGUAGGGGAUACCACAGUCCUCCUAACCAUUCAACCAUGAAGUGGUUUGCUAAUUAUGUGAUUAUUUUAAGGAUGUAGUGUUUUCAUUAGGGUCAAACCGUCUGUAGUUUAAAGUCGAGCUACUAAAAUGGCUCGUACUUAGCUUAUAUCGUUCUCGAGUUAGUUUCUAGUCAAAUAAGCGGAACGCAAUUUUAUAAUAGAAGGGCGUUGCUUCGUGUCGGCCGACAAAUCUUUUCAAAAGAUCUGCCACCUCGCAGGCCAUCGGAUCUCAUAGAUUGAGUGACCGAGCGUCACCCCAUACCAUUACAACAAAACCGAGCGUCAUCCUGUAUUUUUUUGCAACAUAGGUCAAGUUACAAUUUUUUUUUUGCAAUAAAGUUUUAAUUAUAGUUUUUUUCCUAGCAACUGAGGUCUUGUCACAGAAAUUUUUGUGACAAAAGUCUUGCUACUGAAAUUUUAUAGAAGUUGAGAAAUUUAUAGAAUUUUCUCGCAACAAAGAUC